CUUAGCCUUAAACUUUAAUAAUUCCAUAACAAAAAUAUUUGCCAGAGGACUACUAGCCACAGCUUAAAACUCAAAGGACUUGGCGGUACUUUAUAUCCACCUAGAGGAGCCUGUUCUGUAAAUCGAUAAACCCCGCUAUACCUUACCACCCCUUGCUAAUUCAGCCUAUAUACCGCCAUCUUCAGCGAACCUUCAAAAAGAAUAAAAGUAAGCAAGAGUAUAAUCAUAAAAACGUUAGGUCAAGGUGUAGCCAAUGAGGUGGGAAGAAAUGGGCUACAUUUUCUUUUAACUAGAACAUCAACGAAACUCUUUAUGAAAUUAAAGAAUAAAGGAGGAUUUAGUAGUAAAUUAAGAAUAGAGAGCUUAAUUGAACUGAGCAAUGAAGUA
rnacentral:rRNA from 1 species